UACGGGGGGGGCAAGCGUUGUUCGGAAUUACUGGGCGUAAAGGGUCCGUAGGUGGCUUGCUAAGUCAGACGUGAAAUCCCUCGGCUUAACCGGGGAACUGCGUCUGAUACUGGAUGGCUAGAGUGUGGGAGAGGGAUGCGGAAUUCCAGGUGUAGCGGUGAAAUGCGUAGAUAUCUGGAGGAACACCGGUGGCGAAGGCGGCAUCCUGGACCACGACUGACACUGAAAAGCGAAAGCCAGGGGAGCAAACGGG
rnacentral:rRNA from 1 species